GACGAACGCUGGCGGCGCGCCUAACACAUGCAAGUCGAACGAGAGAUGAAGAGCUUGCUCUUCAGAUCGAGUGGCGAACGGGUGAGUAACGCGUGAGGAACCUGCCUCAAAGAGGGGGACAACAGUUGGAAACGACUGCUAAUACCGCAUAAGCCCACGGCUCGGCAUCGAGCAGAGGGAAAAGGAGUGAUCCGCUUUGAGAUGGCCUCGCGUCCGAUUAGCUGGUUGGUGAGGUAACGGCCCACCAAGGCGACGAUCGGUAGCCGGACUGAGAGGUUGAACGGCCACAUUGGGACUGAGACACGGCCCAAACUCCUACGGGAGGCAGCAGUGGGGAAUAUUGCACAAUGGGGGAAACCCUGAUGCAACGACGCCGCGUGAAGGAAGAAGUAUUUCGGUAUGUAAACUUCUAUCAGCAAGGAGAAAAUGACGGUACUUGACUAAGAAGCACCGGCUAAAUACGUGCCAGCAG
rnacentral:rRNA from 1 species